CUGAAUCUUUUAAAAGCCGCAGUAUCCUGACUGUGCUAAGGUAGCAUAAUCAUUUGUUAUCUAAAUGAUAACUAGUAUGAAUGGUCUGACGAGAAAAUAACUUUCUAAAAAGAAAAGAUGAAAAUUUAUUUAAAAGUAAAAAAGCUUUAAAGCUUUAGAAAGACGAGAAGACCCUAGACACCUGUUCUAUUCAUAUAGUUUGUUGGGGGGCUUAUUCAAACAAAUAACUAUUAAAACUUAUUAAUUGCUCUAUCUAUCUUUAUUAAAAAAAAAAAAGGUACUCUAGGGAUAACAGCAUAAUCUUCUUCUAGAGCCCUAAUCGACAAGAAAGAUUUUGACCUCGAUGUUGAAUUGAUAUUUCUUUCUAAAGCAGAA
rnacentral:rRNA from 1 species